CGUGGGCAAUCUGCCCUGCACUCUGGGACAAGCCCUGGAAACGGGGUCUAAUACCGGAUACUGAUCCUCGCAGGCAUCUGCGAGGUUCGAAAGCUCCGGCGGUGCAGGAUGAGCCCGCGGCCUAUCAGCUAGUUGGUGAGGUAACGGCUCACCAAGGCGACGACGGGUAGCCGGCCUGAGAGGGCGACCGGCCACACUGGGACUGAGACACGGCCCAGACUCCUACGGGAGGCAGCAGUGGGGAAUAUUGCACAAUGGGCGAAAGCCUGAUGCAGCGACGCCGCGUGAGGGAUGACGGCCUUCGGGUUGUAAACCUCUUUCAGCAGGGAAGAAGCGAAAGUGACGGUACCUGCAGAAGAAGCGCCGGCUAACUACGUGCCAGCAGCCGCGGUAAUACGUAGGGCGCAAGCGUUGUCCGGAAUUAUUGGGCGUAAAGAGCUCGUAGGCGGCUUGUCACGUCGGUUGUGAAAGCCCGGGGCUUAACCCCGGGUCUGCAGUCGAUACGGGCAGGCUAGAGUUCGGUAGGGGAGAUCGGAAUUCCUGGUGUAGCGGUGAAAUGCGCAGAUAUCAGGAGGAACACCGGUGGCGAAGGCGGAUCUCUGGGCCGAUACUGACGCUGAGGAGCGAAAGCGUGGGGAGCGAACAGGAUUAGAUACCCUGGUAGUCCACGCCGUAAACGGUGGGCACUAGGUGUGGGCAACAUUCCACGUUGUCCGUGCCGCAGCUAACGCAUU
rnacentral:rRNA from 1 species